UACGUAGGGUGCGAGCGUUGUCCGGAAUUACUGGGCGUAAAGAGCUCGUAGGUGGUUUGUCGCGUUGUCCGUGAAAACUCACAACUCAAUUGUGGGCGUGCGGGCGAUACGGGCAGACUGGAGUACUGCAGGGGAGACUGGAAUUCCUGGUGUAGCGGUGGAAUGCGCAGAUAUCAGGAGGAACACCGGUGGCGAAGGCGGGUCUCUGGGCAGUAACUGACGCUGAGGUGCGAAAGCGUGGGGAGCAAACAGG
rnacentral:rRNA from 1 species